rnacentral:tRNA from 1 species
UGGCUGUAUGGCGGAGUGGUCAAACGCGCAAGAUUAGGGUUCUUGUAAACUGUAACUUUUGGAUGUCAUCGGUUCGAUUCCGAUAUACUCAU